rnacentral:rRNA from 1 species
UUAAGCGACUAAGCGUACACGGUGGAUGCCCUGGCAGUCAGAGGCGAUGAAGGACGUGCUAAUCUGCGAAAAGCGUCGGUAAGGUGAUAUGAACCGUUACAGCCGGCGAUGUCCGAAUGGGGAAACCCAGUGUGAUUCGUCACACUAUCGUUAACUGAAUACAUAGGUUAACGAGGCGAACCGGGGGAACUGAAACAUCUAAGUACCCCGAGGAAAAGAAAUCAACCGAGAUUCCCCCAGUAGCGGCGAGCGAACGGGGAGCAGCCCAGAGUCUGAAUCAGCUUGUGUGUUAGUGGAACGGUCUGGAAAGUCCGACGGUACAGGGUGAUAGUCCCGUACACCAAAAUGCACAGGUUGUGAACUCGAAGAGUAGGGCGGGACACGUGGUAUCCUGUCUGAAUAUGGGGGACCAUCCUCCAAGGCUAAAUACUCCUGACUGACCGAUAGUGAACCAGUACCGUGAGGGAAAGGCGAAAAGAACCCCGGCGAGGGGAGUGAAAAAGAACCUGAAACCGUGUACGUACAAGCAGUGGGAGCACCUUUAUGGUGUGACUGCGUACCUUUUGUAUAAUGGGUCAGCGACUUAUAUUCUGUAGCAAGGUUAACCGUAUAGGGGAGCCGCAGGGAAACCGAGUCUUAACUGGGCGUUAAGUUGCAGGGUAUAGACCCGAAACCCGGUGAUCUAGCCAUGGGCAGGUUGAAGGUUGGGUAACACUAACUGGAGGACCGAACCGACUAAUGUUGAAAAAUUAGCGGAUGACUUGUGGCUGGGGGUGAAAGGCCAAUCAAACCGGGAGAUAGCUGGUUCUCCCCGAAAGCUAUUUAGGUAGCGCCUCGUGAAUUCAUCUUCGGGGUAGAGCACUGUUUCGGCUAGGGGGUCAUCCCGACUUACCAACCCGAUGCAAACUACGAAUACCGAAGAAUGUUAUCACGGGAGACACACGGCGGGUGCUAACGUCCGUCGUGAAGAGGGAAACAACCCAGACCGCCAGCUAAGGUCCCAAAGUCACAGUUAAGUGGGAAACGAUGUGGGAAGGCACAGACAGCCAGGAUGUUGGCUUAGAAGCAGCCAUCAUUUAAAGAAAGCGUAAUAGCUCACUGGUCGAGUCGGCCUGCGCGGAAGAUGUAACGGGGCUAAACUGUGCACCGAAGCUGCGGCAGCGACACUAUGUGUUGUUGGGUAGGGGAGCGUUCUGUAAGCCUGCGAAGGUGGCCUGUGAGGGUUGCUGGAGGUAUCAGAAGUGCGAAUGCUGACAUAAGUAACGAUAAUGCGGGUGAAAAGCCCGCACGCCGGAAGACCAAGGGUUCCUGUCCAACGUUAAUCGGGGCAGGGUGAGUCGACCCCUAAGGCGAGGCCGAAAGGCGUAGUCGAUGGGAAACAGGUUAAUAUUCCUGUACUUGGUGUUACUGCGAAGGGGGGACGGAGAAGGCUAUGUUAGCCGGGCGACGGUUGUCCCGGUUUAAGCAUGUAGGCGGAGGUUCCAGGUAAAUCCGGUACCUUUUAACGCUGAGGUGUGAUGACGAGGCACUACGGUGCUGAAGUAACAAAUGCCCUGCUUCCAGGAAAAGCCUCUAAGCAUCAGGUAACAUUAAAUCGUACCCCAAACCGACACAGGUGGUCAGGUAGAGAAUACCAAGGCGCUUGAGAGAACUCGGGUGAAGGAACUAGGCAAAAUGGUGCCGUAACUUCGGGAGAAGGCACGCUGAUGUGUAGGUGAAGCCCCUGCGGGUGGAGCUGAAAUCAGUCGAAGAUACCAGCUGGCUGCAACUGUUUAUUAAAAACACAGCACUGUGCAAACACGAAAGUGGACGUAUACGGUGUGACGCCUGCCCGGUGCCGGAAGGUUAAUUGAUGGGGUUAUCCGUAAGGAGAAGCUCUUGAUCGAAGCCCCGGUAAACGGCGGCCGUAACUAUAACGGUCCUAAGGUAGCGAAAUUCCUUGUCGGGUAAGUUCCGACCUGCACGAAUGGCGUAAUGAUGGCCAGGCUGUCUCCACCCGAGACUCAGUGAAAUUGAACUCGCUGUGAAGAUGCAGUGUACCCGCGGCAAGACGGAAAGACCCCGUGAACCUUUACUAUAGCUUGACACUGAACAUUGAGCCUUGAUGUGUAGGAUAGGUGGGAGGCUUUGAAGCGUGGACGCCAGUCUGCGUGGAGCCAACCUUGAAAUACCACCCUUUAAUGUUUGAUGUUCUAACGUUGGCCCCUUAUCGGGGUUGCGGACAGUGUCUGGUGGGUAGUUUGACUGGGGCGGUCUCCUCCCAAAGAGUAACGGAGGAGCACGAAGGUUAGCUAAUCCUGGUCGGACAUCAGGAGGUUAGUGCAAUGGCAUAAGCUAGCUUGACUGCGAGCGUGACGGCGCGAGCAGGUGCGAAAGCAGGUCAUAGUGAUCCGGUGGUUCUGAAUGGAAGGGCCAUCGCUCAACGGAUAAAAGGUACUCCGGGGAUAACAGGCUGAUACCGCCCAAGAGUUCAUAUCGACGGCGGUGUUUGGCACCUCGAUGUCGGCUCAUCACAUCCUGGGGCUGAAGUAGGUCCCAAGGGUAUGGCUGUUCGCCAUUUAAAGUGGUACGCGAGCUGGGUUUAGAACGUCGUGAGACAGUUCGGUCCCUAUCUGCCGUGGGCGCUGGAGAAUUGAGGGGGGCUGCUCCUAGUACGAGAGGACCGGAGUGGACGCAUCACUGGUGUUCGGGUUGUCAUGCCAAUGGCAUUGCCCGGUAGCUAAAUGCGGAAGAGAUAAGUGCUGAAAGCAUCUAAGCACGAAACUUGCCCCGAGAUGAGUUCUCCCUGAGACUUUAAGUCUCCUGAAGGAACGUUAAAGACGAUGACGUUGAUAGGUCGGGUGUGUAAGCGUAGCGAUACGUUGAGCUAACCGAUACUAAUGAACCGUGAGGCUUAACCUU